rnacentral:lncRNA from 1 species
UCAAGUUUUGUAGCAUAUUAAAGAAUUGAAAAGUGUCGAACCCACAGGGAUUGAUAUUCGACUUCCACUGAGUACUAUAAUUAUGUCUGCGUUUACUUUAUCUAGACAAUCAGAUGUUAAUUUGAUGUUUGAAUGCUAAACUAAUGUCGAUGAAUUUAAUAAUGCAAGAAAAGUGAGGCAAUUUCUAAAGAUUAAUUCAGAAUUUCG